AUGGAGUUGUCGGGUUCCAUCGCCUGCCCCACGGCGGCUCAGGCGCGGCUGCUCCGGCCGCCGGCUGAUCUUCCCUGGCUCGCCUCGCCUCCUCAAAGGCGCAAUGUCCCUGCCUCUUCAGGAUACAUAUCUUGUAGGAGUUUUGCCGUGAGAAGCAAAGUGACCAAGGCGAUGCCUUCACUGAGUGUGAGCAUUCAGCCUGCAUUUCCUCAGCCAGUUACUCGGGCUACAUGGAAGAAGAAACACAAUGUUACAUGCUAUCAGAGACAAGGAGCUCCACAGAUAGAAGCCAAGUCAAUGGAGGAAGUAUAUGAUUCUUUGGCUGAGCACAUUCUUUCUGUCUUCAAGAGUAUCGAUAAUCUUGAUUCAAAAUAUAUUGUUGGUCUGGCUGGCCCACCUGGUGCAGGCAAGUCUACUGUUGCCUCUGAAGUGGUUCGACGCGUCAAUAUGCGUUGGUCUCAGAAGCAUACAAAAGAUAGUUCACUGAAUUCAAAUGAAGAUAUUGCGACAAUGCUUCCCAUGGAUGGUUUCCACCUUUAUCGAUCCCAGCUUGAUGCAAUGAAGGAUCCAAAAGAAGCACAUGCAAGAAGAGGAAGUGAGAAGGCACCAUGGACAUUCAAUCCAUCACUUUUUCUGAAAUGCCUACAGACCCUAAAGGAAGAGGGGUCAGUCUAUGCUCCAUCAUUUGAUCAUGGUGUUGGUGACCCAGUCGAGAAUGACAUAUUUGUAAAGCCGCAGCACAAAAUAGUGAUCGUCGAGGGGAAUUAUUUAUUACUGGAAGAAGAUUUUUGGAGGGAAAUUAGAGACAUGUUCGAUGAGAAAUGGUUCAUUGACAUUGACAUUGAUGUCUCCAUGCAAAGAGUGCUCCAGAGGCAUAUUGGCACAGGGAAAGAGCCAGAUGUAGCAGCAUGGCGGAUUUCAUACAAUGACCGGCCGAAUGCUGAGCUUAUCAUGGAGUCAAAAAAGGCUGCAGAUCUUGUAAUCAGAUCGGUGGACUACUGA
rnacentral:rRNA from 1 species